ACUACGGGAGUCAGCAGUGAGGAAUAUUGGUCAAUGGGCGUAAGCCUGAACCAGCCAAGUCGCGUGAGGGAUGAAGGUUCUAUGGAUCGUAAACCUCUUUUAUAAGGGAAUAAAGUGUGGGACGUGUCCUGUUUUGUAUGUACCUUAUGAAUAAGGAUCGGCUAACUCCGUGCCAGCAGCCGCGGUAAUACGGAGGAUCCGAGCGUUAUACGGAUUUAUUGGGUUUAAAGGGUGCGUAGUCGGCCUUUUAAGUCCGCGGGGCAAGUCUGUGGCUCAACCAUAGAAUGUCCGUUGAAAAUGGGGGGCUUGAGGAUGUUUGAGGCAGGCGGAAUGCGUGGUGUAUCG
rnacentral:rRNA from 1 species